CUCCCAAACCCAAUGUGAACCAUACCAAACUGUUGCCUCGGCGGGGUCACGCCCCGGGUGCSUYKCAGCCCCGGAACCAGGCGCCCGCCGGAGGGACCAACCAAACUCUUUUCUGUAGUCCCCUCGCGGACGUUAUUUCUUACAGCUCUGAGCAAAAAUUCAAAAUGAAUCAAAACUUUCAACAACGGAUCUCUUGGUUCUGGCAUCGAUGAAGAACGCAGCGAAAUGCGAUAAGUAAUGUGAAUUGCAGAAUUCAGUGAAUCAUCGAAUCUUUGAACGCACAUUGCGCCCGCCAGUAUUCUGGCGGGCAUGCCUGUCCGAGCGUCAUUUCAACCCUCGAACCCCUCCGGGGGGUCGGCGUUGGGGAUCGGGAACCCCUAAGACGGGAUCCCGGCCCCGAAAUACAGUGGCGGUCUCGCCGCAGCCUCUCCUGCGCAGUAGUUUGCACAACUCGCACCGGGAGCGCGGCGCGUCCACGUCCGUAAAACACCCAACUUCUGAAAUGUUGACCUCGGAUCAGGUAGGAAUACCCGCUGAACUUAAGCAUAUCAAUAAGGCGGARGAA
rnacentral:rRNA from 1 species